rnacentral:rRNA from 1 species
CAUUCCGGCCAUAGGGGGCGGGUCCCACCCGAUCCCAUUCCGAACUCGGAAGUUAAACCGCCCACCGUAGCUACCUUUAGCACAGUCCGAAAGGCGUGCGAAGGUAGCUAAGCCGGAAGGC